GUUCUGUAUCUGGCCUUUGGACUGUCGAUCUUAGUUUUGUAGCCGGUUUGAACGAACAGAAGAAGCCUCUAACCCUAAUCAGCUUCAGAAGAGAAACAAAUGCCGUAUCUCCACAUCUUUCGACGGCGACUCGAUGUCGUUUCUGCUUUCUAUCACCAUCUGAAACAGUCCGAGUUAAGAGUUCAUGUUUAAUCCCAUCGAUUCAGUGUGCCCAGAACUUCCUCCUUUCUUCACUAUAACCACAAGAAGAAACAAGAUACAAGAAUCUAAGUUAGAGAAGCUUUGCAAUUUGUUCUACAACAAAUUGUCUGAGUGUUGUUUUAUGCUCAAGCCAACCAUCCUAACCAGAAGUUAUUGGCCGUGGAUGUGAAGCCUGAGUUGAUGUCACUACCAGGAAUAACCCCAAAAGUUCAUGGGAGGCUGGAUUUUCCUAAAUGCAAUUUCUGACGCACAUAUAUACUUACUUUGACAAAGAAACAAGUGACAGUGACGCCUGCAACUGCUCAGAUGGUGAGAAAGUAGCUAUUGACCAGAUUAUCGGAGGUGAUGACAUCCUCUCAAACCACCCUGGGGUAUGGGAUGCAACAGCCGCUGCUGAGCAGCCCACUUCUGGGGGAAGCAAUGCAGACGAACAUCUGGUUCCAGUAGGAGGAAACACACUAAAAAGCACAUAUCUCCAGUUGUUGUUAUGCUUUCGUAAAUGAACACCCUCUCUUUGUCCUCUUGAUCUGCUGUUCUGAGUACUCUUGAGCUGAUCUGAGUUUCUUUUGUUUAUUUAGACCAGUUGAAGUCGAGUUCUUCUGAUGGUAAAAUCAGGAACCUAGGGAGAGUGAGAAACUACAUUGCCUUAUACCAGCACCUAUAGCAUAUGUUACACAUCUCUCUUGGCCCAAGAGUAUAGAUUAUGUGCCUUAUGCUAAUGCCCCGUAGAAGGCUAUUCAGAAAUGGAUUUAGUAUGAGAUGGACGUUUUUAGAUUCCUUGGUGGUGGAACUCAUUUCCCUUAAGGUGGUAGGACUGCUUUGGACAAUGGUUGUGAGGUUAUGUCUUAUGUUUGCUUCUGUUUAUAUUCUUUGAGUCUCAUAUUCUUCAUUAGUGACGUUGUGGGAUUAUAUGUUUGUAGUUACUUUAUUUCGGUUUCACCACACGUGAAUUACCUGCUGAGAAGAUGUAUUUGGCUUUAAAAGUAGUUCUAUUACGAUAAUGAUUAUAUGUUUGAAUA